GCCGUGAAGGGUUCCGGGGAAAGGGAGGCCUCUGAUACAAGCUUUCGCCUUAAGAUGAGCCCAUGGCCCAUCAGCUAGUUGGUAGGGUAAAGGCCUACCAAGGCUACGACGGGUCGCUGGUCUGAGAGGACGACCAGCCACACUGGCACUGAGAUACGGGCCAGACUCCUACGGGAGGCAGCAGUGAGGAAUAUUGCGCAAUGGGGGAAACCCUGACGCAGCAACGCCGCGUGUGGGAAGAAGGCCUUCGGGUCGUAAACCACUUUUGCACGGGACGAAAAAGGGAUAUCGAACAAAUAUCCCCGAUGACGGUACCGUGAGGAAUAAGCCAACGGCUAACUCUAGUGCCAGCAGCCGCGGUAAGACAGAGGUGGCAAGCGUUGUUUCGGAAUUACUGGGCGUAAAGAGUCUGUAGGUGGUUUGUCAAGUCUUUGGUGAAAGG
rnacentral:rRNA from 1 species